CUACGUCCUCCGCUCGCUCGUGGUAGGGUUUGAGCAUGUUCACAUGGAGCAUGCGUCUCUUCCCUACUCCGGAGCAUGGGCCGAUCACAUAGGUGGUGUCGCAUCUCUGCUCUACCACCUGGUAUGGGCCCUGCCAGACGGCCUGCAGUUUAUCGGUGCGGACAGGUUUGAGGAUUAACACCUUCUGUCCCACUUGAAAAC